GAUGAACGCUGGCGGCGUGCCUAAUACAUGCAAGUCGAGCGAAUGGAUUGAGAGCUUGCUCUUAUGAAGUUAGCGGCGGACGGGUGAGUAACACGUGGGUAACCUGCCCAUAAGACUGGGAUAACUCCGGGAAACCGGGGCUAAUACCGGAUAACAUUUUGAACCGCAUGGUUCGAAAUUGAAAGGCGGCUUCGGCUGUCACUUAUGGAUGGACCCGCGUCGCAUUAGCUAGUUGGUGAGGUAACGGCUCACCAAGGCAACGAUGCGGAGCCGGCCUGAGAGGGUGUUCGGCCACACUGGGACUGGGACACGGCCCAGACUCCUACGGGAGGGAGCAGUAGGGAAUCUUCCGCAAUGGACGGAAGCCUGACGGAGCAACGCCGCGUGAGUGAGGAAGGCUUUCGGGUCGUAAAACUCUGUUGUUAGGGAAGAACAAGUGCUAGUUGAAUAAGCUGGCACCUUGACGGUACCUAACCAGAAAGCCACGGCUAACUACGUGCCAGCCGCCGCGGUAA
rnacentral:rRNA from 1 species